rnacentral:rRNA from 1 species
GUGUCAGCAGCCGCGGUAAUACGGAGGGUGCAAACGUUGCUCGGAAUUAUUGGGCGUAAAGCGCGCGUAGGCGGUUCGUCAAGUCGGGUGUGAAAGCCCUCGGCUCAACCGAGGAAGUGCAUUCGAAACUAGCGAGCUAGAGUACUGAAGAGGAUGACGGAAUUCCCGGUGUAGAGGUGAAAUUCGUAGAUAUCGGGAGGAACACCAGUGGCGAAGGCGGUCAUCUGGGCAGAUACUGACGCUGAGGCGCGAAAGCGUGGGGAGCAAACAGGAUUAGAUACCCUGGUAGUCCACGCCGUAAACGAUGGAUGCUAGUCGUCGCGGGUAUUGACCCCUGCGGCAACGCAGUUAACACGUUAAGCAUCCCGCCUGGGGAGUACGGCCGCAAGGCUAAA